rnacentral:rRNA from 1 species
GAUGAACGCUGGCGGCGUGCCUAAUACAUGCAAGUCGAGCGAACAGACGAGGAGCUUGCUCCUCUGACGUUAGCGGCGGACGGGUGAGUAACACGUGGAUAACCUACCUAUAAGACUGGGAUAACUUCGGGAAACCGGAGCUAAUACCGGAUAAUAUAUUGAACCGCAUGGUUCAAUAGUGAAAGACGGUUUUGCUGUCACUUAUAGAUGGAUCCGCGCCGCAUUAGCUGGUUGGUAAGGUAACGGCUUACCAAGGCAACGAUGCGUAGCCGACCUGAGAGAGUGAUCGGCCAAACUGGAACUGAGACACGGUCCAGACUCCUACGGGAGGCAGCAGUAGGGAAUCUUCCGCAAUGGGCGAAGUCCUGACGGGGCAACGCCGCGUGAGUGAUGAAGGUCUUCGGAUCUUAAAACUCUGUUAUUAGGGAAGAACAAAUGUGUAAGUAACUAUGCACGUCUUGACGGUACCUAACCAGAAAGCCACGGCUAACUACGUG